rnacentral:sRNA from 1 species
GCGCCUGAGGGUGCCCGCCGGUCCGCGAGUUUCGCGCACUGGCGCGAUUUCG